rnacentral:rRNA from 1 species
GAAGUAAAAAGUCGUAACAAGGUCUCCGUAGGUGAACCUGCGGAGGGAUCAUUACAGAGACUCUGCCCUUUGGGUAGACCUCCCACCCUGUGUCGUUAUACCUUUGUUGCUUUGGCGGGCCGCGGGGCUCCGGCCCUGCCCCUGGCUCCGGCUAGGGCGCGCCCGCCAGAGGACUCGAAAACCUGAAUGUUAGUGUCGUCUGAGUACUAUAUAAUAGUUAAAACUUUCAACAACGGAUCUCUUGGUUCUGGCAUCGAUGAAGAACGCAGCGAAAUGCGAUAAGUAAUGUGAAUUGCAGAAUUCAGUGAAUCAUCGAAUCUUUGAACGCACAUUGCGCCCCUUGGUAUUCCGGGGGGCAUGCCUGUUCGAGCGUCAUUACAACCCUCAAGCUCAGCUUGGUCUUGGGCGUCACCGGUCCCCGGUGUGCCUUAAAAUCAGUGGCGGCGCCGUCUGGCUCUAAGCGUAGUACAUACUCUCGCUACAGACGCCCGGCGGGUGCUGGCCAGCAACCCCCAAUCUAUCAAGGUUGACCUCGGAUCAGGUAGGGAUACCCGCUGAACUUAAGCAUAUCAAUAAGCGGAGGAAGAA